UCCGCAGUGCCGUUCCAUACAGGAGUCGUCGGAUUGGUUUGCAACAGCGGAGCCGCUGCAGUUAAUAGUCAGACACCUCAAUCAACUUUAGCGGGAGUGCGUUGUGUUAGCGGCAGGCGGCAGAAGUCGCGCUGGAUAUUAUUUUAAUAAUUUAGU
rnacentral:misc_RNA from 1 species